rnacentral:sRNA from 12 species
UUGACAGUCCAAAUACCACCUGCCUCCGUGAGAUACAUGGAGUGGGGCAUUCAGAAGAGAAUGCCUGCGACUAGUUCGCUUGAUGACGUGGCACAUAGGACAC